rnacentral:rRNA from 1 species
GCCGCGUGAGUGAUGAAGGUUUUCGGAUCGUAAAACUCUGUUGUUAGGGAAGAACAAGUACCGGAGUAACUGCCGGUACCUUGACGGUACCUAACCAGAAAGCCACGGCUAACUACGUGCCAGCAGCCGCGGUAAUACGUAGGUGGCAAGCGUUGUCCGGAAUUAUUGGGCGUAAAGCGCGCGCAGGCGGUCCUUUAAGUCUGAUGUGAAAGCCCACGGCUCAACCGUGGAGGGUCAUUGGAAACUGGGGGACUUGAGUACAGAAGAGAAGAGUGGAAUUCCACGUGUAGCGGUGAAAUGCGUAGAGAUGUGGAGGAACACCAGUGGCGAAGGCGACUCUUUGGUCUGUAACUGACGCUGAGGCGCGAAAGCGUGGGGAGCAAACAGGAUUAGAUACCCUGGUAGUCCACGCUGUAAACGAUGAGUGCUAAGUGUUAGAGGGUUUCCGCCCUUUAGUGCUGCAGCUAACGCAUUAAGCACUCCGCCUGGGGAGUACGGCCGCAAGGCUGAAACUCAAAGGAAUU